AAUGAACGUUGGCGGCGUGGAUUAGGCAUGCAAGUCGAGCGAGAAGUUUUAAAAAGAUACUUCGGUUGAUUUUUAAAAUGGACAGCGGCGAAAGGGAGAGUAACGAGUAAAUACGUACCCAGGGGUUCGGGAUAGCCAUGCGAAAGCGUGAGUAAUACCGAAUAAUGUCUCCGGACCAAAGAUUUAUUGCCCUUGGAGCGGUUUGCUUACUAUUAGCUUGUUGGUGGGGUAAAGGCCUACCAAGGCUUAGAUGGUUAGCGGGUGUGAGAGCAUGACCCGUCUCACUGGGACUGAGACACUGCCCAGACACCUACGGGUGGCUGCAGUCGAGAAUCUUCCGCAAUGGACGAAAGUCUGACGGAGCGACGCCGCGUGCUGGAUGAAGGCCCUCGGGUUGUAAACAGCUGUCGUAGGGGAGGAAAUUUUGACCGAUCCUAGGAGGAAGCACAGGCUAAGUUCGUGCCAGCCGCCGCGGUAAU
rnacentral:rRNA from 1 species